rnacentral:rRNA from 1 species
CCUGAGAGGGUGAUCGGCCACAUUGGGACUGAGAUACGGCCCAGACUCCUACGGGAGGCAGCAGUAGGGAAUUUUGCGCAAUGGACGAAAGUCUGACGCAGCAACACCGUGUGAGGGAUGAAGCAUUUCGGUGUGUAAACCUCUGUCGAUGGUGAAUAAUGUUUCGGGGAGUGGAAAGCCUCGGAAUUGAAGGUAGCCAUGAAGGAAGCACCGGCUAACUCUGUGCCAGCAGCCGCGGUAAUACAGGGGGUGCAAGCGUUGUUCGGAAUCACUGGGCGUAGAGGGAGCGUAGGCGGAACUACAAGACAGAGGUUAAAUCUCCGGGCUCAACCUGGAACUUGCCUUUGUGACUGUGGUUCUUGAGUAUGGUAGAGGUUAGUGGAAUUUCCGGUGUAGCGGUGGAAUGCGUAGAGAUCGGAAAGAACACCAGAGGCGAAGGCGACUAACUGGACCAAUACUGACGCUGAGGCUCGAAAGCGUGGGGAGCAAACAGGAUUAGAUACCCUGGUAGUCCACGCUGUAAACGAUGAACACUAGAUGUCGGGAGGGGUUCCUUCCGGUGUCGUCGCUAACGCAGUAAGUGUUCCGUCUGGGGAGUACGCUCGCAAGGGUG